rnacentral:rRNA from 1 species
AUUGAACGCUGGCGGCAUGCCUUACACAUGCAAGUCGAACGGCAGCAUGGAGAGCUUGCUCUCUGAUGGCGAGUGGCGAACGGGUGAGUAAAGCAUCGGAACGUACCGUGUAGUGGGGGAUAACGUAGCGAAAGUUACGCUAAUACCGCAUACGCACUGAGGUGGAAAGCAGGGGAUCGUAAGACCUUGCGCUAUACGAGCGGCCGAUGUCAGAUUAGCUAGUUGGUAGGGUAAAGGCCUACAAAGGCGACGAUCUGUAGCGGGUCUGAGAGGAUGUGCCGCCACGCUGGGACUGGCACACGGCCCAGACUCCUACGGGAGGCAGCAGUGGGGAAUUUUGGACAAUGGUGGCAACCCUGAUCCAGCCAUGCCGCGUGAGUGAAGAAGGCCUUCGGGUUGUAAAGCUCGUUCGGCCGGGAAGAACUCGCACAGGAUAAUACCCUGUGUGGAUGACGGUACCGGCAUAAGAAGCACCGGCUAACUACGUGCCAGCCGCCGCAGUAA